GAUGAACGCUGGCGGCGUGCCUAACACAUGCAAGUCGAGCGAUCUUAUUCGGAAGAGAGCGGCGGACGGGUGAGUAACGCGUGGGUAACCUGCCCUGUACAAACGGAUAACAUACCGAAAGGUAUGCUAAUACGAGAUGAUAUGCUUUUAUCGCAUGGUAGAAGUUUCAAAGCUCCGGCGGUAACGAAUGGACCCGCGUCUGAUUAGCUAGUUGGUAAGGUAACUGCUUACCAAGGCGACGAUCAGUAGCCGACCUGAGAGGGUGAUCGGCCUCAUUGGGAGCAAGACACAGUCCAAACACCUUCGGGAAGCAUCAGUGGGGAAUAUUGCACAAGGUGCGAAAGCCUGAUGCAGCAACGCCGAGUGAGCGAUGAAGGCCUUCGGGUCGUAAAGCUCUGUCCUCAAGGAAGAUAAUGACGGUACUUGAGGAGGAAGCCCCGGCUAGCUACGUGCCAGCAGCCGCGGUAA
rnacentral:rRNA from 1 species